rnacentral:rRNA from 1 species
AGGGCACCACCAGGAGUGGAGCCUGCGGCUUAAUUUGACUCAACACGGGAAAACUCACCCGGCCCGGACACCGUAAGGAUUGACAGAUUGAGAGCUCUUUCUUGAUUCGGUGGUUGGUGGUGCAUGGCCGUUCUUAGUUGGUGGAGCGAUUUGUCUGGUUUAUUCCGAUAACGAGCGAGACUCUAGCCUACUAAAUAGUGACCGGAUAGCUUGGUCUGGGUCACUUCUUAGAGGGACAAGCGGUGUUCAGCCGCAAUAAGUUGAGCAAUAACAGGUCUGUGAUGCCCUUACAUGUCCGGGGCUGCACGCGCGCUACACUGGAGGAAUCACCGUGCUUGACCCAUUGCCAAAAGGCAUUGGUAAACCCUUGAAAAUCCUCCGUGAUCGGGAUCGGGAAUUGCAAUUAUUUCCCUUGAACGAGGAAUUCCCAGUAAGUGUGAGUCAUUGCCUCACGUUGAUUACGUCCGUGCCCUUUGUACACACUGCCCGUCGCUACUACCGAUUGCAGGUACACAAGAU